AUAUAAUAUUUUAUGCACACAUAAAAGAUUUUAUGUCAUUGUACGAUUUCUUAAUUGUUGAACAUUAUAUUGGUUCAAGCCUUAUAUUUAAUUACUUGUGUAUAACCUCAGGGUGGGGUCACAUGGGCUCUUUUGACCAAUCAAAUUCAGUGUUGGCCAUUGUGGCCCUUUGUAUCCUUUUAGACUAACGAGGAAUCCAAUAUGGUCGAAAUUAACAAUUACGCUCUUAGGCGAUACUUCCAAGGAUUAAUUUUAAUAGGAUAUGAUGCCGUUUCAUUCCGUUUAUGUGAAGGAUUAUCUCUCGUUGUACGAAGACUUACACCAAUGGUGUUAUCCCGUGUGAUACUAAGUUUAAAGGGCAGUUGAACGAGUACACAUGCUUAUCACUAUCAGUGCCGUGUGCAGAAAACUUUGCGACGUAUACGCAGUCUACCGUGAAAGGUUUCCAAGAUGGCGGCGCCCACAGCGUAAUUAGCGCAUAUCGCCAGUCACUUUUUUUAUGCUGAUCAGCUACACAGUUGUCGCUGCCCUGUAUCAGUCAUACUGAUUCAGUUCAGAUAAGUAUUCAAAUAUCGUGUUAACAUUUGUGCCUGACUUUAAGUUCUGGCUGUUUAAAUUAUUAUUUUUUCUGCCUUUUUAAGAAUGAUGAUCAACUCGGGUCAGCUCUAUAUAUCUUGUAUAUUUAUUAUUGUCUUAUUUAAUUUAAAGUUCAGCCUGGGCUUAUACUUUAUGAAUAUUUACGACACAUUUGUAUUGUCAGUUUAGCUGGGUUUCCCACUGUCACAUUAACAGAUGUCUUCACGUUUUUAUGAAAUAAACAAUGAAACACCCUUUCAUUUUAGUCUAUAUUACCAUACCUCAUUUAUAUGGUCAACUUGUGUAUUUUAAAAUUCUUGUGAUGUGUUUUGUUGUGCUAUUGUUGUUCAUGUUUUCAUUAUGGCAAUUAUUUGGUCGUUAUAUUUUCAUUAACAUAUCCUUGUUAAGUCUGUAACUACUAAAAACUAUAAGUAAUUUUAAUAUUCUUAAAAGCUUCAUAUUCAUAUAUAUAUAUAUAUAUAUAUAUAUAUAUAUAUAUAUAUAUAUAUAUAUAUAUAUAUAUAUAUAUAUAUAUAUAUAUCUUAUUUGUAUGUGGUGUGGUGUGUCUUAUAGUCACAAUGUAAUUUUAACCUUCAAGUUUUGUCUUGUAGUCACAUCUGGUCAGUCUAUUUGUGCCUUGUAGUCACAAUAGUUCACAUAAGGUUAUACCCAAGGAGUGUCCGUAAAGGUGACCGGUAGCUGCAGAAUCCCCCAGCCCGAGCCAGAGAACAGAAAUAUCCUUUCACGUAUCCUUCAGCCAUGCCUACCUCUCAACACCGCAAUACAAAGGACCUGUCCGCUGGCUGGCACUUCCUGUACAAGUACUACAAAGGGGCGAUAAGGCACGUUCCCAGCCCUUCCUUUGAACACUACAUUAACCUGCCUACCUCUCAACACCCCAAUACAGAGGACCUGUCCGCUGGCUGGCACUUCCUGUACAAGUACUACAAUGGGACGAUAAGGCACGUUUUCAGCCCUUCCUAUCGAACACUACAUUAAACCACGAAGGACCAGAACGAACAAUUACGGCUAGAAACAGGAAGACUUCACUCUUCAGAACAUUGUGUUUUAUCUAGUGAUCUUCAGUUUUUUAGUUUUAUAUGUCAUACUUAUACAUUUUUAAUGUUAUGUCCGAUUAUAGUUAUCAGCUCAGGCUGAUACUAAUGGUUUAGUUCUCUCCGAAGUAAGUAUGUAUUUGCCUGAUUAAAAUUUUUUCAGUUUAGACUGAUAUUGAUUUUAUAGUUCUCUACGAAGGAACUAUUUUUUUGCAGGCCUUGAUUAUAUUUUUCAAUAUUCGGCCUGAUUUUGCUUAUACCGUUCAGGCUGAUAUUGUUGUUAUAGUUCUCUACGCAGGAACUAUGUUUAUGAAGGCCUUGCUUAUUCAUUUUUCAAUAUUUGGCCUGAUUUUGCUUAUACCGUUCAGGCUGAUAUUGUUAUUAUAGUUCUCUACGCAGAACUAUGUUUAUGCAGGCCUUGCUUAUUUAUUUUUCAAUAUUUGGCCUGAUUUUGCUUAUACCGUUCAGGCUGAUAUUGUUAUUAUAGUUCUCUACGCAGAACAAUAUUAUAGUUCUCUACGCAGAACUAUGUUUAUGCCGGCCUUGCUUUUAUAUUUUCCAUUAUUCAGCCUGAUUUUAGUUAUACCGUUCAGGCUGAUAUGGAUGUUAUAGUUCUCUACGCAGAACUAUUUUUAUGCAGGCCUUGCUUAUUAUUAUUUUCCAAUAUUCAGCCUGAGUUUAGUUGGACCAUUCAGGCCGAUAUUGAUAUUUUAGUUCUCUACGCAGAACUAUGUUUAUGCAGGCCUUGCUUAUUAUUAUUUUCCAAUAUUCAGCCUGAUUUUAGUUGGACUGUUCAGGCCGAUAUUGAUAUCUUAGUUCUCUACGAAGGAACUAUGUUUAUGCAGGCUUUGCUUAUUAUAUUUUACAAUAUUCAGCCUGAUUUUAGUUGGACCGUUCAGGCCGAUAUUGAGAUUUUAGUUCUCUACGAAGGAACUAUAUUUAUUCAGGCUGUGCAUAUAUUUUUCUAUAUUCAAACUGAUUUUCAGUAUUCCAUUCAGGCUGAUAUUGAUGUUAUGGUUCUCUACGAAGGAACUAUGUUUUAUGCAACCCUUGCUUAUAUUUUUCAGUAUUCUUCCUGAUUUUAGUUAUUCCGUUCAGGAUGAUAUUGAGGUUAUAGUUCUCUACGAAGGAACUAUGUUUUAUGCAACCUUUGCUUAUAUUUUUCAGUAUUCUUCCUGAUUUUAGUUAUUCCGUUCAGGACGAUAUUGAGGUUAUAGUUCUCUACAAAGGAACUAAAUUUAUGCAUGAUUUUAGUUCUUCAGUUCAGUCCAUGCUUAUAUUUUUCAAUAUUCUGCAGGAUUUAAGUUAUUCAGUCUAGGCUGAUAUUGAUACUAUAGUUGUCUUCGAAGGAGCUAUUUUACCUAAGUUGGGUACCAGAUCAGGUCAUGAAUGUACUUACAUGUUCUGCCGAUUCAGAUAUCUGGACAUGCCAUGCAUAUAUUUAUCUUUUAAUUUCUGCCCAGUCAGGCAUCGUUGGGGUUUACACUACCCCUCUAACUAAACUUAUUUCUAUUUCUUAUGACCAAAGUUUUUAACUUAUUUUCCCUGUUUUUCUUAUUGGUAUGUGCCAAUUUUACCGUAUAUGCCAAUCUUAACGGGUAGUUAUUCUAACAGUUCUAGUGUCAACACAUCUUUCCCAUUAUAAACCUGUGUGUUGGCGUAUUAUACGAAUAAAAUUGCCUUCUGCCCGAUAAUCUUCAGCUCCCAAAAGAUGCUUCUGGGUCUAAGAUUUUGAAGCUACUGUUGGGCAUAUUAGUUUUUCAUAUCUCUGAGUUAAAGGGAAUGUCGCCCCACAGGGAUCUGCCACAUCCCUAUGUAAAUAAUCAUGCUCCACUAAGUCACACCAAAUAAGAUCAAUACGUUUCCUAGGUUUUGUCCUCGAAAGCCAUUACAUAUAUAUUUUCCAUCAUAAUCCAUUACCCUUUUUACUUUGCUUACUCAUAAGCGAUAAUCGUUAGCCCAGUUCUUUCACGUUUUAAAUCACGGGCUUGUUACCCGAGCUGUUCCAUAUGGUUAUUCCCACAGAUAUUCCUCUGGAUUAUUGGUAUUUGUUGUAUAUGUCUCUUUAACUGUCUGCCAGUUUACAUCUGCAGCCCAAUUGUUUAUUAAAUUUUGAUUGGUCGCUCUUUUUCAAGUACAUUCCGAAUCUUACUUUUGUCAAGGUUUUUCAUAUUAUGUAUAUAUGUUAACUGACAGUUUAUUGUUCUAAUGGUCUUUUACUCAUUUACUGGUACAUGUACUUCAUGCCAAUGCUGGUUGUCUGUCGGUUCCAAACCACAGCUCCAUAGUUGUACUACACAGUACAUUAUUGCUUUCCCUGUUUAUGUGUUACAAUUAUUAAUUUGCUUUUGUUGUGUUGCUUGACUGUUUAUGUUUAACCAACAGUUUAACCCCGCAGGUAACCUUUUACCUAUUACCAAGGUCUGUUAUCAAGGCAAUGUUUGUCUUUUUUAUCUCAUUGUCUGAUAGUUUAAGAAUGCAGUUCCAUUGUUUUACUAUAUGAUUGCUUACUCCUGUAUGGGUACAUAUUUUUACUUUUGUUGUUCUGCUGUACAAUCUAUGUUUACCUGAUAGGUAAAGGGUGCAGAUUGUAUUUAAAAUUUUACCAAUACCCUUUAUUCAAGCCAAUAUGUGUUAAAUACUUUUCAUAUGUUGUCUGAUGGUUAAGGGCAGCCCCUACAUUGUUUUACACUGGGUUCAUGAUAUCAUACUACUUAACCACUACAUUUUAAUAUUUUGCUUCGUCAGGUUCUUGAACAUUUAAGGUUAAUCUUAUAGUUUAAAGCUGCACAUUCAUUUUCACCUCUUAACAGGUACCUGUACUUAGUCUUAAUUCCAAAAUCUGUUGUAUACAUCUGUUUGGUCAUCUUGUUGGUUUAAGGCCGCAGCUCCAUUGUAUAACAUAUUAUUGUUUACUUUCUUAUCGAUACAGGUAAUUUUUCACCUAUAACAAAGGCCUGUAAUUAGGGCCAUAUCUGUUGUAUAUAUCUCCUAUGCAUGAUGGUUUAGGGCCACAGAUCCAUUGUUUUCCUAUAUUAUUGCCUACUUUUUACCGUUACAUCUUUUUUAUAUUUAUUUUCGUUGCUUUGCUUUACAAUUUAUGUUAACCUGACAGUUUAAGGCUGCAGGUAAUUUUUCAUUUAUUAAUAAGGCUGCUGUUUAAGGCAAGUAUCUGUUGCUUAUAUCUCCUAUGUUGUCUGGCGGUUUAGUGCUCGGAUCGGGGAUUAUACUAUAUUAUUGAUUGCCUACUCUUUUACCGGUACGUUGUCUUAUUUUAUGGUGUGUUGCUUUGCCGUACAAUUUAUGUUUACCUGACAGUUUUAGGCUGCAAGCAAACGUUUCACCUUUUAACAAGGCUGUUUAUUAAAGCCAUUAUUUGUUGGAUAUAUCCCCUAUGUUGUAUGACAGUUUAAGGCCGCAGAUACAUGUUUUUGUUUUUUCUUCAUGAUUGCUUACUCCUUUAAGUGGGCAUCUUCUUACUUUACUUUUGUUGUUUUGCUGUAAAAGUUACGUUUCCCUGACAGUUAAAGGCUGCAGGUAGUCUUUCACCAGUUUUACUAGCGCUUUUACUGUAUACAAAUAUUGGUUGUUUUAUGUCUGACUGGUUAAGGUCGCAGCUCCAAUUAUUUACAUAUAGGUCUAAGUCAAUUUUGUUGACAAUAAGGUUAAGCAGUUCUUAUUAACACUGCUUUUUUCUGGCAGUGUUUUUCUUAUGGAGCAUACACAUAUAAUUAAGUUAUGCUUAUUCUAGUGAUCGUUGAACACCAAUCCUAUUGUUUUCAAUUAAUUUACUUCACUAGGUUUUAUAAUUUGUAAUUAAUUAGCAGAUGGAUGAUUUAAGCCUAGCUUAUAAUGCUUAUUUGUCCUUAAUUUUCACAUAUCUGACCUUAAUCGUAAGGCUACGUUUAUAUUCAUUCAGGGGCAACUACCCCCUUUUCGAAUUGCGGUCCUCUCCCGUACUUCAUGGGCGGCGGGGUUCCCGUUCCGGUCCCCUUUGUGGCGUGUUUUUACCACCCAUUAUGCCUUUCUGGAAAGAAUCUGUUCUAUUUUUAUCUUUUUUAUGGCAUUUUAUAAUAAAUGCCCGUUUUCAAUCAACAA